AAGGGGUCUAAAUCCCUGACAUUUGACAAUAUGUGUAUCAAUAGGAGUGAGAUAUUAUUGAGUGGGAUGUGCAGCGGUACUCACACAAUUAUUUUCUACUAGCCUUUCUUAACAUUUCAUGCUUCUAGUUGAAAACCAUACUUCAAUUUUGAGUAAUUAUACUUCUUUCAGAAGAUGAAUCAUGAUGAUUCCUUUGAUCUCAAAAAGCCAAAGAAAUCAGAGAAAAAGGGAAAAUGUCCUAGCAUGAUGAGAAAAUAGCGAACAGUGCUAUUGCCUCACAUAGAGAAACCAGUAAGGAGAAUGAUGCAUUUUCAGGGAAAAUGUCCAAGCAUGAUGAGAAAAUAGGGAACAGUGCCAUUGUCUCACUUAGAGAAGCCAGUGAGGAGACUGAUGCAUUUUCAGGUAUAAGAAAUUCAAUACUUCUUGUUGUUAGCAACAAUGAGAGAGAGAGAGAGAUAGAGAGAGGGGAGAGAGAGAGAGAGAGAAACUUAUCCUUUAGUUUAAUUUGAAUUAAAAAAAAAUUACAUUUAGACACGUGAAUGUCACUACAUGUGUUUAAAAAAAAUUUGUCAUUUUGAAAGAGAGGGAAGAUGUUAGAAAAGGAGAGAGAGAGAGAGAGAGAGAGAGAGAGAGAGAGAGAGAGAGAGAGAGAGAGAGAGAGAGAGAGAGAGAGGGAGAGA